ACAACAGGGGAGCCCGAAGGAACGGGCUGAGAGGCGGAUGUUUUCCGUGACCCGUGACACCUGAUCUGGAUCAUGCCAGCGUAGGGAGCA
rnacentral:ncRNA from 1 species